rnacentral:tRNA from 1 species
GCCGGUGUGGCGGAAUGGUAGACGCAGCGGAUUCAAAAUCCGCCGGGGGCGACCCCGUGGGGGUUCGAGUCCCCCCACCGGCA